UACGGAGGGUGCAAGCGUUAAUCGGAAUUACUGGGCGUAAAGGGUGCGUAGAUGGUUUAAUAAGUUAAGUGUGAAAGACCAGGGCUUAACCUUGGGGAGUCAGUUAAGACUGUUAAACUAGAGUAUGGGAGAGGGUAGUGGAAUUUCCGGUGUAGCGGUGAAAUGCGUAGAGAUCGGAAGGAACACCAGUGGCGAAGGCGGCUACCUGGGCAAUUGCUGACGCUCAGGCACGAAAGCGUGGGGAGCAAAAGGG
rnacentral:rRNA from 1 species